UACGGAGGGAGCUAGCGUUGUUCGGAAUUACUGGGCGUAAAGAGUACGUAGGCGGUUAUUCAAGUCAGAGGUGAAAGCCUGGAGCUCAACUCCAGAACUGCCUUUGAAACUAGAUAGCUAGAAUCUUGGAGAGGUGAGUGGAAUUCCGAGUGUAGAGGUGAAAUUCGUAGAUAUUCGGAAGAACACCAGUGGCGAAGGCGACUCACUGGACAAGUAUUGACGCUGAGGUACGAAAGCGUGGGGAGCAAACAGG
rnacentral:rRNA from 1 species